rnacentral:rRNA from 1 species
AGCAGCCGCGGUAAUUCCAGCUCCAAUAGCGUAUAUUAAAGUUGUUGCAGUUAAAAAGCUCGUAGUUGAAUUUCGGGGUCAGCAGGUCGGUCGUGCCAGUGGUAUGCACUGGCCUUGCUGAUUCCUCCCUCUUGAUGAGCCGUAAUGUCAUUAAUUUGGUGUUGCGGGGAAUCAGGACUGUUACUUUGAAAAAAUUAGAGUGUUUAAAGCAGGCAAGCGCUUGAAUACAUUAGCAUGGAAUAAUGAAAUAGGACGUUUAAUCCUAUUUUGUUGGUUUCUAGGAUUGACGUAAUGAUUAAUAGGGAUAGUUGGGGGCAUUAGUAUUCAAUUGUCAGAGGUGAAAUUCUUGGAUUUAUUGAAGACUAACUACUGCGAAAGCAUUUGCCAAGGAUGUUUUCAUUAAUCAAGAACGAAAGUUAGGGGAUCGAAGACGAUCAGAUACCGUCGUAGUCUUAACCAUAAACUAUGCCGACUAGGGAUCGGAUGAUGUUAAUUUUUUAAUGACUCA